GGGGUCUUGGCGCAGCGGUAGCGCGUAUGCUUUGCAGGGUUGGUUCUGAAUUGCAUAAGGUCGUGGGUUCAAGCCCCACAGUCUCCA
rfam:Termitomyces sp. J132 unplaced genomic scaffold scaffold113, whole genome shotgun sequence.